rnacentral:rRNA from 1 species
GAUGAACGCUGGCGGCGUGCCUAAUACAUGCAAGUCGAGCGAACAGACAAGGAGCUUGCUCCUUUGACGUUAGCGGCGGACGGGUGAGUAACACGUGGGUAACCUACCUAUAAGACUGGGAUAACUUCGGGAAACCGGAGCUAAUACCGGAUAAUAUUUCGAACCGCAUGGUUCGAUAGUGAAAGAUGGUUUUGCUAUCACUUAUAGAUGGACCCGCGCCGUAUUAGCUAGUUGGUAAGGUAACGGCUUACCAAGGCGACGAUACGUAGCCGACCUGAGAGGGUGAUCGGCCACACUGGAACUGAGACACGGUCCAGACUCCUACGGGAGGCAGCAGUAGGGAAUCUUCCGCAAUGGGCGAAAGCCUGACGGAGCAACGCCGCGUGAGUGAUGAAGGUCUUCGGAUCGUAAAACUCUGUUAUUAGGGAAGAACAUACGUGUAAGUAACUAUGCACGUCUUGACGGUACCUAAUCAGAAAGCCACGGCUAACUACGUGCCAGCAGCCGCGGUAAUACGUAGGUGGCAAGCGUUAUCCGGAAUUAUUGGGCGUAAAGCGCGCGUAGGCGGUUUUUUAAGUCUGAUGUGAAAGCCCACGGCUCAACCGUGGAGGGUCAUUGGAAACUGGAAAACUUGAGUGCAGAAGAGGAAAGUGGAAUUCCAUGUGUAGCGGUGAAAUGCGCAGAGAUAUGGAGGAACACCAGUGGCGAAGGCGACUUUCUGGUCUGUAACUGACGCUGAUGUGCGAAAGCGUGGGGAUCAGACAGGAUUAGAUACCCUGGUAGUCCACGCCGUAAACGAUGAGUGCUAAGUGUUAGGGGGUUUCCGCCCCUUAGUGCUGCAGCUAACGCAUUAAGCACUCCGCCUGGGGAGUACGACCGCAAGGUUGAAACUCAAAGGAAUUGACGGGGACCCGCACAAGCGGUGGAGCAUGUGGUUUAAUUCGAAGCAACGCGAAGAACCUUACCAAAUCUUGACAUCCUUUGACAACUCUAGAGAUAGAGCCUUCCCCUUCGGGGGACAAAGUGACAGGUGGUGCAUGGUUGUCGUCAGCUCGUGUCGUGAGAUGUUGGGUUAAGUCCCGCAACGAGCGCAACCCUUAAGCUUAGUUGCCAUCAUUAAGUUGGGCACUCUAAGUUGACUGCCGGUGACAAACCGGAGGAAGGUGGGGAUGACGUCAAAUCAUCAUGCCCCUUAUGAUUUGGGCUACACACGUGCUACAAUGGACAAUACAAAGGGCAGCGAAACCGCGAGGUCAAGCAAAUCCCAUAAAGUUGUUCUCAGUUCGGAUUGUAGUCUGCAACUCGACUACAUGAAGCUGGAAUCGCUAGUAAUCGUAGAUCAGCAUGCUACGGUGAAUACGUUCCCGGGUCU